UAUAAGAAGGGUACGAGGAAUGGACCCAAAGCCCUAAAGCCUAUUCCAGUGAUAGUGCGUUGCAGGGGUACUUAAUAUAUCUGUUGCCCAACAAUGGUUGAAGUCUGCUAAUGGUCAGAAGUCACUGUGAAUUUGUGCGCUGAAUUUCGUAAUCCUCAAUACGCGCAAUCUGUUGUUGGAUGUCCAUACAUAAUUUUAGCCUUGCAGUGGAAACAGAAGAUUCAGAUUUGUCUCAUGGCCUUUGCACUAUUUGCAACCUGGGCUAUUGGUAGAUAAAAAAAUUGGUACAGACCUGUUAUUAUGCUUA